CCUACGGGAGGCAGCAGUGGGGAAUCUUGCGCAAUGGGCGAAAGCCUGACGCAGCAACGCCGCGUGCGGGAAGAAGGCCUUCGGGUUGUAAACCGCUUUCAGCAGGAACGAAAAUGACGGUACCUGCAGAAGAAGGAGCGGCCAACUACGUGCCAGCAGCCGCGGUGACACGUAGGCUCCAAGCGUUGUCCGGAUUUAUUGGGCGUAAAGAGCUCGUAGGCGGUUCAGUAAGUCGGGUGUGAAAACUCUGGGCUCAACCCAGAGCCUGCAUUCGAAACUGCUGUGACUAGAGUUUGGUAGGGGAGCGGGGAAUUCCUAGUGUAGCGGUGAAAUGCGCAGAUAUUAGGAGGAACACCGGUGGCGAAAGCGCCGCUCUGGGCCAAUACUGACGCUGAGGAGCGAAAGCGUGGGUAGCAAACAGGAUUAGAUACCCUGGUAGUCCACGCCGUAAACGAUGGGCACUAGGUGUGGGUUUCAACUAACGAAAUCCGUGCCGUCGCUAACGCAUUAAGUGCCCCGCCUGGGGAGUACGGUCGCAAGACUAAAACUCAAAGGAAUUGACGG
rnacentral:rRNA from 1 species